GGAAUGAGCUGAGAUCUUGAAUUAGCCUAGAAGUAGGAAGGAGCAGGGGUGGGGAGAGGUGAGUGAGCAGCUCAGUGGUGUCACAGCAGCAAUACGAAUAGCUCCAGUACAGACUGUGUUCUACCUGGCUGGAGAAACCUCCACCUAACUGUGCAAGAAAAGCUCCAAGUCCCCCUGCCCUAUAUUGAACUUGUUGCUCUAUAAACUGUAAAUCUGAAAUUAAACCCUCUCCACAACCAGCAUUUCACUAGCUCCCCUCUUACCAAAGGUAUCUUAUAGCCUGCAGCCCAGUGCAAGGGACGGAUGGGAAAUCUGAUUAAAAGCCAUUUUAUCAAAAAGUAUCAGCUAUCACAAAGGAAAGGGAAGCAUCUACUGUCCUCAGAGAUAAAAAAACAAAACUACCUUUGUGCCUGGAGCAGAAUUUAAACUCAGGGCUCCCACAUAUAAAACAUGCACUCUAGACAGGCCAGGGUUUUUUUUGUUUGUAAUUUCUCCUCCUCUUCCUCCUCCCCCAUUCUCUUUACCGUCUAAACAAGCAGGUCCUCCUUCCCCAAAAGUCAUUUUAUGACACAGCAGGACAGAAAUGAUAAAGAAAUGAAAACAAAAAAACAGAAGAAUUUGAAAACUCGAACCCUUUCUCCCUCCCCUGUGUCAGCCUUGCAUUUAUUCAAUUCUGACACCUAGUGGGCACCGCUACCAGUGGGGAGUGGAAGUGGCCAGCCAUGCUCACCAACAGCCUUAGCAGCAAUGCUGAUGCCCAUCAGCUGCUGGCUGAUGCUGCCGUGAGGGAUGUGCUCCAUCCUUAGCACAGCUGUGUUUCCUUAAGCCCUCCCAGGCCUUUGUGCUGAAUUUGCACUUGCAGACAUAUUGAGAACUGCACGUUCUGCGGUAGAGUCAAGGCUGGAAAAUGCUUGAGCGCUGAUCCCAGCGUCUCACGGCCCUGAGUCAGGAAACAGGCUUGGCGAUUAAGGCCUAUCCUUCAUUUCAGAGGGAUCAUCCAGGGGUCAGUCUGUUUUGUCACCCACCUGAGAUUAAGUUGCUGACAGUGAAGCGUGUGCCAGGAAAUCUCCACAUUCUUUCAGGAUGAGCAGUAAGGUUCUUUUGAACAAGGGCUUGGUUCCAUUCAGCUUUUGCUCAAUAUGAUCUCUGCCCUCAGGAAAUUUUCUAGACUAGUUUCACGCAGCACUGAACCCCCACAGUUGCUGGUAAUUCUACCCAUUUCCAGCUAGCCCAAAUGAACAAAACUGCUGUGGGGCUACCAAAGCACCAGCGCGCUUUCCACAGUGGCAGAGACCAGUCUAAGGCACAACAUGCACUCUACGCAGCUAUAAUCACCGAGCAUCUGUGGUGUGACGGCAAAGAGAGGGUCUACGACAUGAAAUGCUGUGCCACCUGGGAGUGCAAAUCCCACUGCGUUUCCCCAAGUGUUGAUGGAAGGGCAGGUAGGGAACUGAGAACAGUUUUUUUUGCAGCACGGUAUGGUGUUCCCUUCAUCGAUACCACACCAUGGGGAUUCCUGCUCAGACACUGCCAGCGUAAGAACUGUUGGGGUGUACACAGACA